ensembl:processed_transcript D030028A08Rik RIKEN cDNA D030028A08 gene
GAACCCAACCGCCACCCUACAGGGGCAGAGCACCCGACUGAGGACGGGAGGACUUGGGGAGGCAGGACAGGAAUCCCAGAGAAGACCCAGUUUCUCCAGCCCUGGUCCCCACACCUGCAUCCUUCCUCCACUUCCGCUUCCGGCCAAAGACCCCGGCCCAGCCUAGCACCAAUCCUGAGCCGCUGUGCUUGAGCCUCAGUUCAGAAACAAACCGGCCUCCUUCAGCCACGUCGCCGUCUUCAGCGGAGCCAAUCCAAGCCCACGCUCCGCCCCUCUGCUGAAAGCCCCGCCCAUCAUCAUGUUCUGAUUGACACAAGAGUUCUCAGAAGAACAUGACCUCCAGACUGAGGCUUCCUGUGGCCAAGGCUAAUCCUAAAGGAGUCUUAAGUGGUUGCCAGCUGCUAGCCACACUCCCAGGCUUGUCAGCAAAUCUCUCCUCCGAAGAGGACUUCAAGGUACAAUGUCUGCAACAGCCCGAAAAAAUGGAGAGUUAGUCUGCAGAAUGAAAGAUGGAGCACACUGAGAAAUGAACCCAAAGAUAUCUCCGUCCACCCCCUGGAGCAUGCUAUAGUGAUGUUAUUUGGAAAGAGGAGUCUUUGCCCAUGUGUUAUGCUGAGGACCUUGCGGUACUGUUCAAAGAAGACGACAGAGGAAGAGCCAGCCACAGGAAAUGAUUCACUUAAGGACUUAGAAACCUAGGCUCUGGGGCAGGAGCCAGGCCAGGUGCUGGGGACAGAGGGACAUCAUCCUUUUCUGCUAGUUUGACAAGACCCUGGCAUCUCCUGGAGACAGCCUCUGGGGAUGAGCUCAGAGCCUGGCUCAUGAAGAGGAUUAUACAGGAGCCCUACUUACCUCCCGGCCGGGGAUCACAGAACUCUGGCGACUGACCACAGCCCCAAUCUGGCUGCUUUUGGGGCGGGAAUGGAAGUAGUUCUCGGCCUCCUUGUCUGGGAGUUUCUUCACGGAGCCUUCCACGCGCACCUGUUGGUGGAUGAACCUGGCUAGGUGGUGCUUGACACUACUAACCCUUUCUGCUAGCGCAGGCCCGGUUUCUCCCUGUUCCAUCAGCUGCCCCAACAUGCCCAGACCCAUCUAGACUGAGAGCUUAGUGAGAGGCAGAGUGGCCAUGCCCAGGCAGAACAGGAUUCCUACAUUCAUUUAUAAAUUCACCCCUGCCCACCCAGCCCACCAGAAGUGGUUGUGGGGAAGACCACUCACCUGACGGUUCAGGGGCUCCCAGUAGAAGACAAGAGAGGCAAAGGGGUUAGAAUCCUGGGAAGAAGAGAAAAGUCAUAGGUACGGGAACGGUAAAUCGGUGCCUCCUGCACGUAGGAGGAAUGCGGGAGAUGGAGCAGGGUACCAUCAACAGAUGCACUCACUGUUACAUCUCAUUUAAACCCUCAAAGGUGAGCCUCCGGUGGCAUAGCUAAAGACAGGCCCUCAGGGGUAGAGCUGGGUGUAAGCCAGGUUAACUCCAGUGUGAAGCUUGGCCAUUCCAAUCACCAUCCUUGUAGUUUUGAAUAUUUCUGUUCUUGUUUUUUGACACAGGGUCCCACUCUGGGCUAAUUUGUGCUAAUCCUCCUGCCUCAGCCUCCUGAAUACCGGAGAGGUGUGAACCACCACACCCAGCUCACUCAUGGAGUUUUGACAGUUGAUGUGACAUGCAUCCCCGGAGUGGCCUGAUAAAUGCAUAUGAAAUGCCAACUCCUGUGUACCUUAGAACUGGUGCUGGGAACAAAACAGAUGAAAUAAAGGUGACAACCUUUGCCCCACAGAGCUGACAGGGUAGCAGAGGAGAUGUGUCAAUCAUGUGAUCAUAUAAACAAAUGCAUAGCCAGAAGCAAAAAAAUUUAUGUAUAUACUUAUAUAUGUGUGAAUGUAUGGGACCGUGCAGAUGAGACUGAAGGAACGGGUGCUGAUUGGGUAGCAGAUAUGGAGGUGGGUGUGGCUUAUUCAUUCACAGUGCACAGGCCUGGAAGCAGGAGGGAGACUGAGCAGGGAUGGUGUAAGCCAGGGCUGGGUCUAGUCCUGUCCAUCCUGGGAGGAUUCAUCCUGACCCUCACCAGCUCUUUUCCCUUCCGGCUCUCGUAGUUAGUGAAGAAACGGAAGCCGUCCUUGCCAAAGCCCUUCAGCAGCAGCAUGCGGGCAGAGGGUUUUCCGUCUCUGGGGGGCACACAGCAGAGCACCAGAACUCUCCAACACUGACAAAAACCUUGCAGUGCUGGGAGAGACUGGACCACCACCAACACACUGAGCCAAUGCAUCACACAGAGGAGCAAUGGUGGACGGCCCUCUGCUCAGAGCUCUGGGUAACACUGAGGAUGUCAAAGCCCCAUCUUGAUUCCUGGUGCUUUAGUGAGAAGGGACGAGAGGAGCUGAAUAAGGAGGCUGACCUUAGAGAUUUCUCACAGGGUAGUGGGAGGCAUAGUUUUUGGCAAUAGCCAGCCAAGGAUCCAGGGAACAGGUGCACACUGAGUUCACGUAGUGGAUGUCUGGCUGAGAGAGAAGGAGGAAACCCUAACAACGCUCCUUCCAGCUUUGAUCUGCCUGGGGCAGCCUGUGGUGGAAGAUGACGCUGGUGUCUACCAGCAUCUGGAGUGGGAGCCACAAGAAUCACAUAGACAGGCACCCAGCCCUAUGCCAGCUAUGUAUGUGGGAGUUGGCUGGCUCUGGAGAAGAGCUGUUGGCAGUGCAGGUGGCUGGUGACAAGGAUGGAGCGUGAGGCCUCGAGACAGGAUGUCAGGCAGUACAGAAGCCUCGGCGCUCAGCAGAGCUGCGGUCCUGGCUGUUCUGAGGGUAAGUGUCUGGUUUCCUGCAUGUCUGAGGCUCACUGGCCUCUUCCUCCAGCCUGGCUGCUGCUUUUCAGGGCCCUAAGGCUUGUUGCACACUGACUCGAGUUUUAAAUCUGAGUAAGUCACAAUCCCGGGCUUCUUUCUCUGUAGUUCUGCCAAAAUGAAAAGGUGCCCAACACAGUUUCCACUCUUCACCUCUACUCCAACCCAGAGCCGACCUCGAGACUUCCCUCCCACCCUGUGAAACUCUAUUUUCUGCAAACCCAACCUUGUGGGCUAAGGCUUUUGACUCCUCCAGCUUCUCACAGACUGUGAGGCACAUGCCUUCCUCAGGGCUGGGGUGGGAGGUACAGCAGUUGGCCAGCUCAGGAAGUCCUUCUAGGGUUCGCCUCUUUGACUCAAGCAAGACUGGGAGUGGGAGAAAAAAAGCAGAGACUGCACUGGUCUCGGGGCUCCGGAGGUCCCCAGGUGCUCUGAGAGCUGAUCUCCUUUGGGACCAGGAGGGUAAAUUGGGUUCAUAGCUCCCCCCUCAGGAAUCCUUCUGUAAGACCUCUUACAUCACAGACAAAGGAGGCCCAACUGCCAAACGCAGACUUUGCCUUGGGCAACUAAAUUUAUUAGCAAGAAACCUUUCGUCAGCCCAGUACUGACCAACAAAAUACAUCGUUAAUAAAGGAUAACAAAUCUUCACUUAAUUAAUAAAACAUCCUCAAGCAGUUACAAC